GGAGUGCUAAAGUAUCAUUAGGAUAGUAUAAAGUAUCAUCAACAUAGUAUAUUGUAGGGAUAGAGUACCAGAGGCCAGACUAUCGAGGAGGUAGGACAUUCUACAAGCAGGAUAUUGAUGGUGCAGGAUAUUGUUGGAAUAGAGUAUUCACGAUGCAGAUUGUCGAGGGAGUAGGCUAUUCAGGACGAAGGGAUCGAGCGGGCUAAAUAUCGACGGGGUAGAGUAGUAUAGUGGGUGGAGCAUCAAGGGAGUAGGGUAUCGAAGAGGGAGGGACUGUAUUUUGAAUCCGGAGAGGGAUAACGGGGGGUUCACUUUCAUGACAACAAGAUCAGAACUCACAUGCACCCAUUUCUUGAAGGAUCCCAAGUUUGCUUAGGCUGACUUUACGAUUCGCCAGAUGCACGACUUCUCCGACCAGACUACAAAGGUUGCAAAGGGCUACCAUGAAGCAGGUCGUAUCGACGUCUACCUUGUCGGUUGGACUCACGGUGGUGGUAGAUGCGGACUUCGAUC
rnacentral:lncRNA from 1 species